rnacentral:rRNA from 1 species
GGUUAAGCGACUAAGCGUACACGGUGGAUGCCCUGGCAGUCAGAGGCGAUGAAGGGCGUGCUAAUCUGCGAUAAGCGCCGGUAAGGUGAUAUGAACCGUUAUAACCGGCGAUACCCGAAUGGGGAAACCCAGUGUGAUUCGUCACACUAUCAUUACGUGAAUACAUAGCGUAAUGA